UUUAAUGGAGAGUUUGAUCCUGGCUCAGGACGAACGCUGGCGGCGUGCCUAAUACAUGCAAGUCGAGCGGGGUUGUUUAGAAG
rnacentral:rRNA from 1 species